GACGAACGCUGGCGGCGUGCUUAACACAUGCAAGUCGAACGGAAAGGCCCUGCUUUUGUGGGGUGCUCGAGUGGCGAACGGGUGAGUAACACGUGAGUAACCUGCCCUUGACUUUGGGAUAACUUCAGGAAACUGGGGCUAAUACCGGAUAGGAGCUCCUGCUGCAUGGCGGGGGUUGGAAAGUUUCGGCGGUUGGGGAUGGACUCGCGGCUUAUCAGCUUGUUGGUGGGGUAGUGGCUUACCAAGGCUUUGACGGGUAGCCGGCCUGAGAGGGUGACCGGCCACAUUGGGACUGAGAUACGGCCCAGACUCCUACGGGAGGCAGCAGUGGGGAAUAUUGCACAAUGGGCGGAAGCCUGAUGCAGCAACGCCGCGUGCGGGAUGACGGCCCUCGGGUUGUAAACCGCUUUCGCCUGUGACGAAGCGUGAGUGACGGUAAUGGGUAAAGAAGCACCGGCUAACUACGUGCCAGCAGCCGCGGUGAUACGUAGGGUGCGAGCGUUGUCCGGAUUUAUUGGGCGUAAAGGGCUCGUAGGUGGUUGAUCGCGUCGGAAGUGUAAUCUUGGGGCUUAACCCUGAGCGUGCUUUCGAUACGGGUUGACUUGAGGAAGGUAGGGGAGAAUGGAAUUCCUGGUGGAGCGGUGGAAUGCGCAGAUAUCAGAGAGGAACACCAGUGGCGAAGGCGGUUCUCUGGGCCUUUCCUGACGCUGAGGAGCGAAAGCGUGGGGAGCGAACAGGCUUAGAUACCCUGGUAGUCCACGCUGUAAACGGUGGGUACUAGGUGUGGGGUCCAUUCCACGGGUUCCGUGCCGUAGCUAACGCUUUAAGUACCCCGCCUGGGGAGUACGGCCGCAAGGCUAAAACUCAAAGGAAUUGACGGGGCCCCGCACAAGCGGCGGAGCAUGCGGAUUAAUUCGAUGCAACGCGUAGAACCUUACCUGGGUUUGACAUGGAUCGGGAGUGCUCAGAGAUGGGUGUGCCUCUUUUGGGGUCGGUUCACAGGUGGUGCAUGGCUGUCGUCAGCUCGUGUCGUGAGAUGUUGGGUUAAGUCCCGCAACGAGCGCAACCCUUGUUCACUGUUGCCAGCACGUUAUGGUGGGGACUCAGUGGAGACCGCCGGGGUCAACUCGGAGGAAGGUGGGGAUGACGUCAAGUCAUCAUGCCCCUUAUGUCCAGGGCUUCACGCAUGCUACAAUGGCUGGUACAGAGAGUGGCGAGCCUGUGAGGGUGAGCGAAUCUCGGAAAGCCGGUCUCAGUUCGGAUUGGGGUCUGCAACUCGACCUCAUGAAGUCGGAGUCGCUAGUAAUCGCAGAUCAGCAACGCUGCGGUGAAUACGUUCCCGGGGCU
rnacentral:rRNA from 1 species